CUUUCUGAUUGUCUUUAGUGCUUAGCCUGCCAUUUUAUCUCCUAGCUAGGUGGGACCUGUGCCUGGUUCAUCUUCUUGCUGUGUUUGAGGUCCUGCCUCAGCCCUGCUCAAGCUUUUGUUGCUACCUGAUAUGAGAAGAUGGAUAGAUGAGGACUGGAAUGAAACUUUGGGAGGAGGACCAGUGCUAUGAAACAGGACUUUCCAAGCUGACUUUGACUGGAUUGCCACUGAUAAAAAUAUCAAAUCUGAAAUGGCUGCAGUACCUGGAAGGGGCAAAGGCUCACGGAGCAGUGUUGGGAUAACCUGGGCCCUCUGCAGUACGUGUGCCUUGGCCAUCCAUUGCUGUCACGAAGUGGAGAGCUGGAAAAGCAGCUCCCUUUGGAGCAAAAUCCCCCACUGGCUGCUGUGAGGUGCUUGUCAUCAAAUCCUGCACUGUGUGAACAGAACCAGUGCAUGAAUAGCUGGGCUAUGAGCAUAUUGACUGCUUUAGGUGUGGAAUGAGCACUCGGUUUCCAAAGUGAACCAGAGUACAUUUCAGCAGUGCUAGCAGUCCCUUAGACACUAUUUACAAAGCCUGCAGCUUCUGUGAUACUCUCUACUGUUGACCCCUCCUUUUAAUUGUGCCUUCCCAGCUCUUCUGUGAUAAAAGAGCACUGAAUAUCCACUGUUCUUCCUGGAGCAGAAAUAAUUUGGAAAGGUUGCAAGCAAACUGCCUUAAAUGUGUGAGCAGGCAAAAAAUUUCUAUUGGCAUUGAGUAAAGAACUGCUUGACUUCUCCUGUGCAGAAUGUAUUUUGAGACACUCUGAUAGAAAGGCAAACAGAAAUGGCCCCAUUAUGGUGCUGUUCAUUCUGAAAAACUCUGCUGUGACCCUGUUGCACCAGGAAGAGCAGCUGUUUUAGAGUCCCUUGCCCACACAACUAAAGCUGAUGGAAAGAUGGAUUUCUUUAGAAUAAAAAUGUUCCUGCCUGCAGUUCAGAUGGUUGAUGGAGCAGAUGUCAUGUUUUGACUGCAAAUCACAAUAGGUUUCAACUGGAAGCAAACCCAGCCUCCAUGGGUUUGUUGUGAUAGGAAACUUUAAUUCUCCAGUUGGAUGUAUUAAGAUGCUAAGAGUAGCAAUUGAGCUACUAUUUGAUUCUUGAAGUUUAACAUCCCAAAGAAGAGGUACAAGCCCUUGACCCCUGGGUAGCUAUGCAUGUCUGUAUUGGAUGCUUUUCAGUUUUCUUACUCUGAGAUUAUUUUCUGAGACACUUAGUGAAUGUAUAUACAUGUUUUCAUACGGUUCUUAAAUCUAAAUAUCAAGGUGCAGUGUGGGCUGAUGGCUGGCUGGGGAACCAGGAGCUGCAGGCUCUGGGCAUUCCUUGUCAGCCAGGCCCUGUCCCACUGCCUCUGAGGACAUCAGGUCCCUCUGGGGACAGGCCAUGGGAUGUCAGUCAGUGGAUCAGGGUUUGGAUCAAGGAGCUUCACAGCCAGGAAUGGGCAUGGCUGUGUGACACA